GUUCUUGGCUCUUCAAUGUCACUCACUACCUUUAUGUCAACAUGUCACACUUGUUCUCUAAUCCACUAAGUUCUUGUCAUUUUUCAUGCAUACAUAGGGUUUAUAGAUUCUUACUUGUAUUUCACAUGCAUUUGAACUCACAACAUGCAAUAAGAAGCUCACAAUAACCCUACUAUACAAUAUACUCAAUACAUGCAAAUGCUCAAAUAUGACACUUUAGAUAUAAAAGGAA
rnacentral:lncRNA from 1 species